rnacentral:misc_RNA from 1 species
GAUGAAGAACGUAGCAAAAUGCGAUAAGUGAUGUGAAUUGCAGAAUUCAGUGAAUCAUCGAAUCUUUGAACGCACAUUGCGCCCGCUGGUAUUCCGGCGGGCAUGCCUGUUCGAGCGUCAUUUCAACCCUCAAGCCCCCGGGUUUGGUGUUGGGGAUCGGCUCUGCCCUUCUGGGCGGUGCCGCCCCCGAAAUACAUUGGCGGUCUCGCUGCAGCCUCCAUUGCGUAGUAGCUAACACCUCGCAACUGGAACGCGGCGCGGCCAUGCCGUAAAACCCCAACUUCUGAAUGUUGACCUCGGAUCAGGUAGGAAUACCCGCUGAACUUAAGCAUAUCAAUAAGCGGAGGA